GUUUGACUUGUGCUGGCUCUGCCCCUUAUCUGCCUCCUUAAUACGCUCAGCCAAUCCAAUGCUUUACAAUGUGAUCACAUUUUUAUUGGCUCAGAACACCACUUCUUAUAGCCGAGCAGCAGGUCAGUGACAGAGCCAGCAGCAGGAGACUGGAAUAAAGGUAAGAUUUUGCUUUAUUGAGGGGGGGGGGAGGGGGCAGGGUGGUUUUAACACUACAGGAUCAGAUAGACUUUUUUUUUGUGCUACUGACUCUAUAAUGUUCCUUUAAAUAUACUCAUCCUUUACUGUGUUUAUUCCCUUUAUGUAUUUAAAUGUUUCUAUCAUAUCACCCUUGUCUAGUCUUUCCUCCAAGUUAUACAUGUUAAGGUCCUGUAACCUUUUCUGGUAAGUUUUACCCUGCAGUUUGUAGCCUUUUUCUGAACUCUGUCCAAAAUUUCAAUAUUCUUCUGGAGAUAAGGUCUCCAUACUGCAUACAAUACUCCAAGUGAGGUCUCACCAGUGUUCUG